rnacentral:tRNA from 1 species
GCAUUGGUGGUUGAGUGGAAGACUUCUCACCUUCCAUACAGGAGACCUGGGUUCGAUUCCCUGCCAGUACA